CAUUAUUCUUUGUUGCGCAUAUUCUUGGUGCUAUAAAUAAUAGUGACACUUUGAGUGCAUAUUCUAUAGUCUUUUAUCAAUAGUUCACUCUUCUUUUUCAAAUUACAAACUACACAAUUUCUGAGCUUCAGCAGCAAUGUCAUCAGUUUCUUCUUUCAAGAUUGGUCUUUUCCUUGCGCUAUGGCUCCUCGUAAUAGCGGGUGGAUUUUGGAGAGCUGAAAGCUCAAGAAGUUUAAUAUCACCACGUUGUACGAAACCAACAGACUGUAUCCCAAAUUGCCCUCAUUGCAUACAUGUUUCAUGCCUCAGUACUUGGUGCGUUUGUGGCUGCGGCCCUCCAUCAACAUAAUAAAUUUAAUAAAAUCAGCACAAUAUUAUUGUAACAAGCAUUUCCCAAAUAAUAAUGAUUCAAUUUUUCAUAUCUUCUUAUCUCUUUUUUAAGUUUAUGGAAUCAAAUACUAUAUAUGUAGGUGAACAAUUGAAUCUUUUAUUUGAAACUUUUUACAUGUGAUGUUUGUUAUGUAAUAUAAUUAUUAGCCCUCCAAAUAUCAGUGAAGAUUGAUACUCGUAUUUUGCA